rnacentral:ncRNA from 1 species
UUAAAGGCAAAGACAAAGACACGAUGGCAAGGAAACGGCUCUUAGAGAGGAACCUGUUUGGUGAAAUGGUUCUGGGCUAGUUGUUGCGAUUACCACUUUGGAGCUGCUGGCAGGAACACUUUGGUUAGUAUUGCCGGACGGGUACUCUUACGUUACGAGAGCUUGAGUGGCUGUUAGAAUUCUAGCAGCAAUCAGGGUGGAACCACGAUGCGAUAGCUUCGUCCCUAUU